GUACAAUGGGCUGCCUAUGACUCAUACCUGAAAUCAAUUAGAAUUAAUACUGCUAUGUCCCUUCCUUCUUCCUCACAAAGACAAGUCCACUGAUAAGGGCAAGUGUAAAAUGGUGUUGAAGCCAUAGUAAGAGCAUCAAGAACAGUAUUCUAUCUGUUCAGUGGUGUUUGAGGUGUUAAGUAAGAGAGACAGAGAACAUUGUUUGUUAUACCAAGUAGGCAUUGCCCUGACCACCAAUUCUGCACAGUAUGGCAAGCAACAAAUCAGUUGAGGAAAUGAGUUUCCUCUAUAACGCUUCCUGGAAGAGGAAAUCGAUCUAAUGAGCCAUUUGCAACAAGCUUGGAUCAUGUAGCUGCUGAAA
rnacentral:lncRNA from 1 species